GGGCGAUUAGCUCAGCCUGGAUAGAGCGUUGGCCUCCGGAGCCAAAGGUCAUGGGUUCGAAUCCCAUAUCGCCCU
rnacentral:tRNA from 1 species